rnacentral:rRNA from 1 species
GAUGAACGCUGGCGGCGUGCUUAACACAUGCAAGUCGAACGGAAAGGCCCAAGCUUGCUUGGGUACUCGAGUGGCGAACGGGUGAGUAACACGUGGGUGAUCUGCCCUGCACUUCGGGAUAAGCCUGGGAAACUGGGUCUAAUACCGGAUAGGACCACAUUUUGGAUGGUGUGGUGGAACGUUUUUCGGUGUGGGCUGAGCUCGCGGCCUAUCAGCUUGUUGGUGGGGUAAUGGCCUACCACGGCGUCGCCGGGCAGCCGGCCUGAGAGGCUGUACGGCCUGACUGGGGCUGAAGUACGCCCCAGCCUCCUACGAGACGCAGCAGUCGGGUAUAUUUCACAAGGGUCGCACGCCUGAUGCAGGGCCGCCGGGUGGGGGAUGACGCCCUUCGGGUUGUAGUCACCUUUCGCUAGGGACGAAGCGCUAGUGACGGUACCUGGAGAAGAAGCACCGGCUAACUACUUC